AUAGGCAGGCGACACCGCGGCGGCAGAGCGCUGCACGACCUCCGCCUCCCCAAUCCGCCCCUUCUCCUUGCCCGCCGCCCCCCGACUCCCGUCUCCUCGCAUUCGCUCACCGGUGAGCAUCCUAAUCCAUCCCAUCCGGCCUCGGCCUCGAAUUUCGUCUCCUCGCCCGCCGCUUGCGCCGAUCCCCAUCCUGCGAGCAGAGGUGGCGCCCGGCGUCCUCCUGCUUCCACCGCAUCGUCUAUCGCCGGUGACCAUCCCUCCCUCCCUAUCCACACCUCAUCAGGUAUUCUGCGUUAUCCCUCAAAAAAGUUUGGGGGUUCAACCGAAAACCGACCCCUCAACCGAAACAGGGUUAGAUCUGCCUCUGCCCAGUUCCACCUACUUUCAACUUAUGUAAUUUGGUUACUGAAUCUCAUCCAAACACCCUUAGAAUAG
rnacentral:lncRNA from 2 species